rnacentral:rRNA from 1 species
AGAGUUUGAUCAUGGCUCAGAUUGAACGCUGGCGGCAUGCCUAACACAUGCAAGUCGAACGGGGUAGCAAUACCCAGUGGCAGACGGGUGAGUAACACGUGGUCAACCUACCUCUGUGUGGGGGAUAACUAGCCGAAAGGUUAGCUAAUACCGCAUACGAUCGUUUUGGGGCAUCUCGAGACGAUGAAAGGAGCAAUCCG